GCAUGGUUGUCGUCAGCUCGUGUCGUGAGAUGUUGGGUUAAGUCCCGCAACGAGCGCAACCCCUAUCCUUAGUUGCCAGCAUUCAGUUGGGCACUCUAGGGAGACUGCCGGUGACAAACCGGAGGAAGGUGGGGAUGACGUCAAAUCAUCAUGCCCCUUAUGAGUUGGGCUACACACGUGCUACAAUGGACGGUACAAAGGGCAGCGAGACCGCGAGGUGGAGCCAAUCCCAUAAAGCCGUUCCCAGUUCGGAUUGCAGGCUGCAACUCGCCUGCAUGAAGUCGGAAUCGCUAGUAAUCGCAGGUCAGCAUACUGCGGUGAAUACGUUCCCGGGUCUUGUACACACCGCC
rnacentral:rRNA from 1 species